UGCAGGGACUUUCACCUCCAUCAGCAAAUGGGGCAAGACAGCCAAGACUAACCCAGGUGUCUUGCGGGCAUCUCGCCCAAUUGUACAAUUCUGAACAAGACUCUUACUAUCAACCGUUUAACCCAGGGGUCCUCAAACUUGGCAACUUUAAGACUUCUGGCUGGAGAAUUCUGGGAGUUGAGGUCCACAAGUCUUAAAGUUGCCAAGUUUGGAGACCUCUGGUUUAGCCUCUUUAAGCGCUCCGUAGUCCAUAACCCACAGCCAGCCUCUUCACAAGCGCUUCAAUGCCCUAUUGCUUUUUCCCCUUCUGCACUUCUUAAUUCUGGCCCCAUUUUGUGCCAGAAUCACACAUCUCAAGGUCAGGGCUAUUGCCUCUAGGAGGAAAAAAAUCCAGAUUUCUGCUUCCGGUAAACCACUGUCUGACAAAAUACUGGAGUUGCUUUUAGAACCUGCAGAGGCGAAAAGACCGCAGGCUCUGCAGCGUCCACUGGGUUCUUAUCAUCAGGUGUCUUUUCCCAGCCCCACCUUCUUUCUAGAACAGGGGUGGGAGAGAGUGGCCCUUUAAUGUCUUGUGGACUUCAACUCCCAGAAUUCUUGAGCCCAGCAUGGUGCACGGCUGGCCCAGGAAUUCUGGGAGUUGAAGCCCACGUCUCUUAAAAGGGCCACACUCCCCCCGCCCCUGUUCUACAAGACCCAGAGGGGACAUAAAAAGAACCAUGAUCUCAAGAACCUUUCAGGAUACCAAGAAGGAAAAAGAGAAUCAGUAGUCACUU